rnacentral:rRNA from 1 species
CCGGCGGCCAUCUCACACGGGCACAGCACCCUCUCCGGCAUAAUUGUCGACCACUGCAAUGGCCUGCUCUUGCUUAAAUACGUUGGCUUCUAUGUGGUUAAUCCUGUCACGUUUCAAAUGACACUUUUGCCCCCACCCCAGCCCCCGUCGACGGAGAUGAAGGCCUUCUACCUAAUGACAGGCGUCAGGUAUCUUGUGUUUGAUCCUACGGUCGCGCCGCACUAUGAGGUCUUCUUGAUUCCCCAUGUUCCAAGGAGAGAUGACCUGGGCCUUUUGUCACAGGAAUUAGAAUGGCCACCAUCGCCAUUUAUCUUGUUGGUUUAUUCUUCAAGAACAAAGCACUGGGAGGAGAGGCCCUUUGUUCGGAAAGGGGAUGCAAUGGGGUCUAUUGCCGAUGUGCUGCAAGCCGGAAAGCGAGAGAAGCACUAUGGUAUCUACCUGCAUGGGGCACUUUAUGUGCAUUGCCAGAAUCAUUACUUUUACAAAAUAUCACUAUCGGAUGGUCAGUACCAAGUAAUUAAACCUCCGCCAGGUAUCGGGACAAGCGAUCGCUGUCAAGUUUAUUUGGGGAAAUCACGGGACGAGGUGCGUUGUGCAAUUGUAGACUGUCCGUAUCAACUUCGGGUUUGGAUGAUGGAUGAAUCUUAUGGACAAUAUGAGUGGGUGUUGAAGCAUCAUAUUGACCUUAUGCAUGUGAUGCAAAGACAAGACAAUCAACAAGUCGACCGCCCAUCUUCUUUACAAGAAGAGAGAGAAUGUUAUUAUGAUGAUGAUGUUGGCACUGACACCGUGAAAGGUCCAGAAGAGUCUGAUUAUGAUUUCUUUAUGAGAGCACACCUUAAGUUAGGACCUGCGGCGAAGAAAACUCGACGUGAAUAUUGUCACAUUGCUUUUCUUGGAUUCCAUCCUUUCGACAAAGAUGUCGUCUUCUUGACCGACGGAUCACGACAAGGAUUUGCCUAUCAUCUGGAGAGCUCUAGAGUUGAGCACCUAGAAAAGAUAACACGAUGGGCCGAACCUUUUUUUCACAACCCACAAGCAUUUGUAAACAAGUCUUUUCCUUUCACGCCUUGUUUGACCGGC